rnacentral:rRNA from 1 species
GGGGAAUUUUGGACAAUGGGCGCAAGCCUGAUCCAGCCAUGCCGCGUGCAGGAUGAAGGCCUUCGGGUUGUAAACUGCUUUUGUACGGAACGAAAAGGUGCCUUCUAAUAAAGGGCGCUCAUGACGGUACCGUAAGAAUAAGCACCGGCUAACUACGUGCCAGCAGCCGCGGUAAUACGUAGGGUGCGAGCGUUAAUCGGAAUUACUGGGCGUAAAGCGUGCGCAGGCGGUUUUGUAAGACAGGCGUGAAAUCCCCGGGCUCAACCUGGGAACUGCGCUUGUGACUGCAAGACUAGAGUACGGCAGAGGGGGGUGGAAUUCCACGUGUAGCAGUGAAAUGCGUAGAGAUGUGGAGGAACACCAAUGGCGAAGGCAGCCCCCUGGGUCGAUACUGACGCUCAUGCACGAAAGCGUGGGGAGCAAACA